AUUUAAGUAGUUUAAAUAAAAUAUUGAUUUGUGGAAUCAGAUAUAUGAUAUACUAUCAUCUUAGAUA
rnacentral:tRNA from 1 species